rnacentral:sRNA from 1 species
AAGUUAUAAUAUUAGUUAUUUGAAAUUUUGAAACACCAUUAAUGAAAUUAAGGUCUCAUUCUUUGUCUUAUCUGCCAACAUCCAAGGUAUUGUCUUUCUGGAAACCCACUGGCCAGCUCUGCCAGAGAAUCAGCCUUUCUCCCUCACCGCAUAUCUUUAUCUCAUUUGCCAACACCUGAGGUAGUCCCUCCCUGGAAACCCACUGGACAUACUGGCCAGUGAUCGGGAACUAAAUGGUCAAAGGUGGGGUAGAAACCCCAGAUUGGGACUAAAGAUUUCAACAACAGGAUCCUAGCAUAACUGUUCUCUACGAAGUUCCACCCAACAGCCAAUAAAAGCAGAUGCAGAGACCUACAGCCAAACAUUAGAUGGAGCUCAGGAGUUUUGUGGAAGGAUUGAGGGACCUUAACAGGAUAGCAACUCUACAGGAAGAUCAACAGAGUCAACUAUCCUGGACCCUUCGGUGCUCCCAGUGACUGAACCAUCAACCAAAGAGCAUGGGCUGAACUUAAUGCCCUCUCCCAGCAUAGAUAGCAGAUGUGCAGCUUUGUCUUCAUCCUGGUACUUCAACAACUGAAGCGGAGGUUGUCCCUCAAUCUGAUACACACCUGUGGAUCCAGUUCUCCUAACUGGGUUGCCUUGUCUGAUCUCAGUGGGAGAAGAUGUGCCUAAUUCUGCAGUGACUUGAUUUGCCAGGGUAGGGUGACAACAUGGGGAGAGGGCUGCCCCCCUCCUCAGAGGAGAAGGGGAAGGGGAGAGGGGAGGAUCUGGGGGACUGGAAGGAGGGGUCUGAUAUUUGGAUGUAAAGGGAAUAACUAAGUAAAUUAAUGAAAAAUAACUAAAGGCCUUAUGGAAACCUAAUAUAAUAGAAGCUUUUUAAAAUAUACACAUAUGAAAGAAAUCCAAAUGAAACACCAAAUAAUGAGAGAGACAAAACCCCAACAAGACAUCUCUGGCUACUAAAUGAACCCCAGGGUCUGGAAUGGGUUGCAUCUGAGUCAUGGAAAACCCCAAAUUACCUAGGCUAUUGUCAAGGCUGUUGGUUCCUCUUUAAAAACCGUUGGCCUCUAUGUUGAGAAGAAUGUCUACAUAUUGUGUGGAAUAUGAGGAGGUUGAACUGGUGCCUUUCUAGAGCCUUUAUCCCUACUGACUAGUGUUGAUGGUACUGGGAGAUACUAUGUACACCAUCAGAGGAGAAAGCUAUACCACAAACAGGCUACAAAACGUGAUCUGCUUGCGUGAUAAACCAGUACACUAGUAGCACAAAAACUGUGGAAGUAACUGGCCACUAUCAGCUUGGAUUUAAGGCCCACUCCAUGAGAUGGAACUCACACCUCACACCAGUUUUAAGUGGCUAAGAACUUUUGACUACAUAGGCCAUAGUCCUAGAAGAAAACCAAAUUCUGCUUUCCUACUAAUAGUAGUCCUAAUGAUAUUCUGCUAUACUUAUAGACAGUAUUUUGCCCAGCCAUCAUCAGAAAAGCUUCUGACUGUAGUAGAUGGGAACAAAUUCAGUGACCCACAACUGAACGAUAUGCAGAGAGUGUGAGGGCUUGGAACCCUCAACCCUUUAUGACAUGUCCCCAUGAUUAUUUCCUCUUAGGGGUCAGGAAUCUUUAAAGAAGGGGAGGUUGAAAGAUUGUAAGAGCCAGUGGGAAUAGAAGACAUGAAUGAAACAAAGCCCUCAGGACUGGUGCAUAUAUGAACUCACAGGGACUGGAGCAUUGUGCACAGGACCUGCACAGGUCUAAGCGGCAAGGAUUC